rnacentral:misc_RNA from 1 species
UGGGAAGUAAAAGUCGUAACAAGGUUUCCGUAGGUGAACCUGCGGAAGGAUCAUUUGAGAGUACGACCGAGGCGUAAGCCAAGGGAGUUAUACACUGUGAACCCGGCUUCGGCCCAAACUUUUCAGUAAUGAAGUAAUUUAUAACAACACAACUUUCAACAACGGAUCUCUAGGCUCUCGCAUCGAUGAAGAACGCAGAGAAUUGCGAUAAGUAAUGUGAAUUUCAGAACCGUGAAUCAUCGAAUCUUUGAACGCACCUUGCGCUCUCUGGUAUUCCGGAGAGCAUGCCUGUUUGAGUGUCAUAAAUACCUCACCCCCUAGGUUUCUAGGGAUGUGGACUUGGGUGUUGCCAACUGCUGGCUCGCCUUAAAUGUAUAAGUGGUUAGAUGUAAUACGUUUCAUCGGCACCACUCUAAUUCCCUCGGGAUGCAUUGCGCACUUUUACCAUGACCUCAAAUCAGGUAGGGCUACCCGCUGAACUUAAGCAUAUCAAUAAGCGGAGGAAGAGAAACUAACAAGGAUUCCCCUAGUAACGGCGAGUGAACCGGGAAGAGCUCAAAUUUAAAAUCUGGCGUCUUUGGCGUCCGAGUUGUAAUCUAUAGAGGCGUUUUCCGCGCCGGACCGCGUCCAAGUCCCUUGGAAUAGGGUAUCAAAGAGGGUGAUAAUCCCGUGCUUGACGCGACUACCGGGGCUAUGUGAUACGUUCUCAACGAGUCGAGUUGUUUGGGAAUGCAGCUCUAAAUGGGUGGUAAAUUCCAUCUAAGGCUAAAUAUUGGCGAGAGACCGAUAGCGAACAAGUACCGUGAGGGAAAGAUGAAAAGCACCCCGGAAGGGGAGUUAAAAAGUACGUGAAAUUGUUGAAAGGGAAACGAUUAAAGUCAGUCGUGCGUUUGGCAUUCAGCCUUUUGGUGUAUUUGUCAUUCGCGGGUCAACAUCAGUUUGAGUCGGGGGAAAAGGGUAGGAGGAAAGUGGCACUUCGGUGUGUUAUAGCCUUCUGCCGCAUACCCCGACACAGACUGAGGAUCGCAGCUCGCCUUUAGGCCGGGGUUCGCCCACGUUCGAGCUUAGGAUGUUGGCAU